rnacentral:lncRNA from 10 species
AAAUAAUGAACCAUCUGUCGCCCUGCAAGUUUCCUCAUAACCCUUGAUAAUCCAUUGCUCUCCCAGUCCCUAGGCAACCAGUGCUCUGCUUUCUGUCACUGUAGUUUGUAUUUCUAAAAUUUUUUAUAAAUGAAAUCAUGCAGUAUGCCCCCUUUUUAAAACCUGGCUUUAUUCAGCAUGGUUUUUGAGAUUCAUCCAUGUGUUAAUAGUUGGGUUUUUUAAUUUUCUGAGUAGUAUUCCAUUGUAUGAUGCUGCAGUUCGUUUAUGCAUUCACUUAUGUGUGGAUUUUUGGGUUGUUUCUACUUUUUGGCUUUUACAUAUAAAGCUGUUAUAAACAUUUGUGUGCAGGUUUUUGUGUGGAUAUAUGCUAUUAUUUCUCUUGGAAAUAAAAAUACCUAGGAGUAGAAUGGUUGGUGUAAGUUUACAAUUGUUUUCCAAAGUGGUUGCACCAUUUUAUAUUGUCACCAGCAUUGUAUGAGAAUUCCAGUUGCUCCAUAUCCUCGUCAUUACAUAUGGUCAGUCUUUUUCAGCCUCUUUCAUUCUAGCCAUUCUAGUGGAUGUGUAGUGGUAUCUUGUUGUGGUUUUAAUUUGCAUUUCCUUAAUGACAUAUGAUGUUGAACAUCUAGUAGUGUGCUUAUUUUUCGUCCUCUUACCUUCUUUGGUGAAGUAUGUGUUCAAAUCUUGCCCAUUUUAAAAUUUUUCUCAUUGAGUUGUGUUUUUUUGGCUUUUUUUUUUUUUUUUUUUGAGACAAGGUAUUACUUUUGCCCAGGUUGGUAGAGUGUCCUGGCGCAGUCUUGGCUCACCACAGCUUCAAACUACUGGGCUCAAAUGAUCUUCUCGCCUCAGCCUCCCAAGUAGCUGGGACUACGGGUGUGUGCCAUCACACCCAACUAAUUAUUAUAUUUAUUUAUAUUUUGCAGAGAUGAGGUCUCACUUUGUUUCCCAGGCUGGUCUCAAACUCCUGGCCUCAACUGAUCCUCCCACCCCUCCUGAGUAGUCAGGUCUACAGGCACAUGCCACCAUGCCCAGCUAAUUGUUUUGUUUUUUAUUGAGAUGAGGUCUUGCUAUGUUACUUAGGCUGAUCUCAAACUCCUGGGCUCAAACAAUCCUUCUGCCUCAGCUUCCCAAAGUGCUGAGAUUACAGACAUGAGUCACUGCACUCAGCCUACUUGAGGAUCUUGAAUGCUCAGAUUCCCCAGAACUCCCUGGACCUGCAGAAGUGGCCCAGUCCCCCUUGUUGAAACAUAAAACCCCAUUUCCCCCUUCACUCUUGCUUGCUUGAAAGCUAUUCAGUAGCCUCAAAACAAGGCAAGUAACUUCCAGGAGGAUGCUGGCCCAUCUCAGGAUCUGCCCUCUACUACCUACCUGGCCACCAGACCCAUAACCCCUCUGGAAUCAAGGCUCAAGAGAGAAGUUUAAUGAUUUGCCCGGCACUUACACAGGUGAUGUGUGACAGAGGCGAGGCUGUAAUCCAAAGUGGAACAAGUGAUCAGAUUCUUUACGGGAAGCUGCAGACACUAAGGCAGUUUUCCUUUCUAAAUAAAUCUCUCAGACUUUCACUGAGUCAAUAGAGAUGGGAAACAGGUGAUAAACAAGUAUCAUACACUCAGAUUAUUAAGUUACUACCCAGUCCAUUUUUUUCAUUAACCUUCUUUCCCAUAUGUAAGGCUGGCUACAUAAUUUCCAGGACCCAACGCAAAAUUAAAAUGUGGGGCACAUUUUUAAAAGCACAGAGAACUUUGCCUGUGGCAACAGCCAUGGUGAGAGGAGCGUGGCUCUCUCCUCUCCACCAUGGCAUGUGCUCGCCUACUAAUA